GUGGCUUCUCAGCCUUUUAGCUAAGAUCAAGCAUACUAUUUGUUCUUAUCAGUUUAAUCUCUGGUAUGUCCUCUAUCCAAGGGCAGUAUAUCAAACGGAUUUUUGGAGCAGGAAAUGGAAUAGGAGCUUGCUCUGUCCACUCCACGCAUCAAUCUGGAAUUGCAGUACCUCCAGUAAUGGUGUACCCCCU
ensembl:snRNA U2 U2 spliceosomal RNA